rnacentral:rRNA from 1 species
AUGAACGUUGGCGGCGUGUUUAAGGCAUGCAAGUCGAGCGGAUCUUCUGUGAUUACAUCAAUGAAGAUUAGCGGCAAACGGGUGCGUAACACCUUGAUAACCUACCUCGAGGUCGUGAAAAACUUUGGGAAACUAAAGCUAAUACACGAUGGCCAAGGAUUGUCUCAAGACUUUCCUUGUAAAGCUUCGGCGCCUCGAGAGGGAUCUAGGCCUUAUCAGCUUGUUGGUGGGGUAAUGGCUCACCAAGGCUAUGACGAGUAGGGGGCGUGAGAGCGCGACCCCCCUCACUGGGACUGAGACACUGCCCAGACACCUACGGGUGGCUGCAGUCAAGAAUAUUCCUCAAUGCACGAAAGUGUGAAGGAGCGACGCCGCGUGCCGGAUGAAGGCCUUUGGGUCGUAAACGGCUUUUAUAGGGGACGAACAAAUGACGGUACCCUACGAAUAAGUGGUUGCUAACUCUGU